CUCUCUCUCUCUUUCUCUCUCUCUCUCUCUUUGUCUCUGCUCUCUGGUGAAAUCUUUUGUUUUUGUGACUCUGUUGGGUGGCUCUGACUUCACAACCUGUUUUUCUUAUUUGUGUUCAAUUUCAGGUGAAUGUGUGUGUGUGUGUUUUGUUGGGACAUGUAGAAACAUCUGAUUCAUGUGGAAAAUCUGUGUCUUCCACUCUUUUCAGGAGACUCACAUUCAGUUUCUCUAAUAAACCUGCAGGGAUGUUUUCCACACCUCCAAAGUGAGGUUCUUCUUGAACAGCUACACAUCCUUUCAGACCC